rnacentral:lncRNA from 1 species
AUAACACUAGUAAAACACUAGGCAGUUUGAAUUAAUAUUUUCCAUUUGAAAAAAAACCAAUGGAUUGACAGACAUUGAGAGAGCUCAAAAUAACAGCACAGAUCAGGAUAGAAUCUUGGCAUUAGAAGUGGACAUGAACAUCAUCGAAUCCAAUCCUGCCUUAUUGCAGACAAAGACAUGCACGUUCAAAGAAAUUAAAUGCCUCCCCCAAAGUCACAGCUCUAGUACCUAGUUGAGCUGGGACAUGAACACGUAUUUUUCCACUUGUUGACCGGUGUUUGUCUACUGUCAAAAAGAGUUGUAAUUCAACAGGCAGGACCAAUAGUAUAAAACGUCCAUCCUGGUGGUGGAUUUGCCUCAGGUGAAGUUUGCUUAGCCAUUUCAUUCUGGAUCCACCUACUUAUUCCUUCAUUAUUGUUAUUAAUUCAUAUUUAUUGAUUCCUCUCUGUUGGGCAAAGUACUUCACUGCCCAAGCUGGUAUUAUAAGCCAUCUUGGAGAUUAUACACUAAAAAGGACCAAAUGAGAAGAUGUGGCUGUGAUUGAAAACCUGGUUUUCCAGAUUGUCAACAUUCCUCUUAUCUUCUAAAUGAGAUCCCUCAUCAUGGCAAUCAGUUCAAUACCAGGAACAAGACUCUUAGAAGGAUGAGAAGCUGGUUUCUUUUCCAUUCCCUUUCUUGUUUUCAUUGUUUCCUUUCUUUGCAUCCUUUUCCUCCUUUCUUCUUUUGAAGGAUGGAUUAACUAGUUUAUUGAUUUAUUCAUCAAAUAUUUGGUGAGCGACUGCUGGUUGCUAGGCUUAGGCUGAACUCUGGACAACAGAAAGACAGAAAAUGCCAAGUCCCUGUCUUUAAGGGGCUUAUCAUCUACUCUAGGGGAGGGGAGACCCAUGAACGAGGGACCUUCUAGGACCAAGUGGCAACGGUAAUUUUCUGUCUUUUUCACAGCACGACAUACACAGAACAUGAUAAUGUUGUAUGGAAAGUGCCGGGACCCUGGUGGUAAUCUGGACCCCUGGAAGAGGUUAUUUUUGGAUAAAUGCAAAUGAGUGGCAAGUCCUGGCUACCUCAGGUCCCAUACAGCCAGCCAAGCAUUGAGAUGACCAGCUUCUAGCCCUGGCUUGCUGGUUGGGAUGCACUGGAAUAGUCUUGGGAGAGGAGAGGCUUCCUGGAACUGAAUAAGUUGUAAAUUGAUGUAACUUGCAGACAUAGAGAACAGACUUUUGGUUGCCAAGGGAGAGAGGAGAGGGAGGAGUUUGGGGUUAGUGGAUGCAAACUAUUACAUUUAGAAUGGAUAAGCAAUGAGAUCCUACUGUAUAACACAGAGAACAAUAUCCAAUCUCUUACGAGAGACUGUGAUAGAAGAUAAUAUAAGAAAGGGAAUGUAUAUGCAUGCAUGACUGGGUACCUUUGCUGUACAGCAGAAAUUGGCACAACAUUGUAAAUCAAGUAUAGUCUAAUAAAAAAUUUAAAAAUAAAAUAAUUGACAUGGCUUGGUGAGUGAUAGAUAUGUGGGGAAGAAGUCAAGGGUGAUUCCCAAGUGUCUCACCUGAUCACCUGGCUAUAUGAUGGUGCUAUGUACUGAGAUGGCGAAUAUUUCAGGAGGUGGAAAAGAGAAGGAAGAAGCAAUGAAUACCCUUGAAUGAGGCCCUUGAAUGAAGCGCAACCAGGUUCCAACCAUUGUGACUGGAAUCAGAAUGCAGACAGUAGGCUGUCGCCAGAGCUGGGAUGAGUCUGGUCUGGUUUAAACUCUCUUUAAGCCUGAGAAGUUAGGGAAAAAUGGCUGUUUGGGGGUUUCUGCCUUUGCCUCUGAGUCCUACCAUGGCUGGUUUGUUUGUUUUUAUGGUUGCUAAUUAAAGAGUAAAGCUUUAAAUAAGGAGGAAAAAAGUUUUUUUAAGUUUAUAGGGGAGUAGGAUGAAUUUCCUUUUGAUGUUGAUUGGUUUCCCUGGUAUGGAGACUCUGAGAUGGAGAAUUGAAUGUAGAAGAUUUAUUGGAUAUUCUCCUAGGAGAUAAUCUUACAGAGAAGUGAUGAGAGAAGGAGAGGGCAAAGGCCAAAGCAGAUGCGAAAAUACAGUUGCAACUGAGAAGUCAGCCACUUCAACCUGGAGCUCCAGAUGGCACUUCGUAGUACUGAACAUUGAGGCAAGGGGCCUGGCCUUUUUAUGCCCACAUGACCAAGUCAUUUUCUGUUGCUGCCUUUUGGAAGAGGGCAUAACCUUGAAUGAUCAGGACACAGCUGUGAGCAGUUUAAUAUCCUAAGCAGCUGGGGAGAGUGGGAUGGGUAGCCAGCUCUGAGGAAGGGCUCUGGGUAGAGCCCUGGAGUAUCCACCGUUCUGGUAAGAGAAGCUUUCUGAGAGGCAAUCUACAUGUGGUUCUGGAGGUAAGACAAGAUGUCUGGGUUCAAGAGGGGAACUUGGCCUUCACCACUGUGUAGAAGAGAGUUGAGGUCAUGGGUAUGGUAACAGUGAAAAGAGAAGAGCUAGAACAGAUGCUUGGAUGGUAUUAUAACUUACUGGGUAAGGUAAAAAAGGGUACCCUGGACAUGAAGAAAGAGUGUCUAAGGAGGUUGGGAACUCCAGGGAUAUUGGGCGUUGAACAAGGGGAAAAAAGCCAUUUGCAGUGACAUGGCUCAACCUGGAGAUUGUCAUACUGAGUCAAGUAAGUCAGAAAGAGAAGGACAAAUAUAUGAAAUCACUUAUAUGGACUCUAAUAAAAUCAAUACAAAAGAACUUAUUUAUGAAGCAGAAACAAACAUUUCAAAACCAAUCUUAUGGUUCUCUUAGGGGAAACUGCUGGGGAGAGGGAGGAACUGGGACAGUGGGUAUAACAUCUACACCCUGCUGUAUAAAAUAGAUGAUUAAUGAGAACCUACUGUUAAGCACAGAAAAGUCUACUUGAUCAUUUGUAAUAACCUAUAUGAGAAAGAGGAAUGGAGAGAUUUAUAUGUAUGACUGAUUCAUGUUGCUAUCUCCCCGAAACUAAUACAACAUUGUAAGUCAACUGUACUUUAGUAA